rnacentral:rRNA from 1 species
GACGAACGCUGGCGGCGUGCUUAACACAUGCAAGUCGAACGGAAAGGCCCUGCUUGCAGGGUACUCGAGUGGCGAACGGGUGAGUAACACGUGGGUGAUCUGCCCUGCACUUCGGGAUAAGCUUUGGAAACUGGGUCUAAUACCGGAUAGGAACCAUCUUUAGUGUGGUGGUUGGAAAGUUUUUUCGGUGUAGGAUGAGCUCGCGGCCUAUCAGCUUGUUGGUGGGGUAAUGGCCUACCAAGGCGGCGACGGGUAGCCGGCCUGAGAGGGUGUACGGCCACAUUGGGACGGAGAUACGGCCCAGACUCCUACGGGAGGCAGCAGUGGGGAAUAUUGCACAAUGGGCGCAAGCCUGAUGCAGCGAAGCCGCGUGGGGGAUGAAGGCGUUCGGGUUGUAAACUCCUUUCGCUAGGGACGAAGCUUUGUUGUGACGGUACCUAGAUAAGAAGCACCGGCUAACUACGUG